ACGCUGGCGACGUGCCUAAUACAUGCAAGUCGAGCGAACAGACGAGGAGCUUGCUCCUCUGACGUUAGCGGCGGACGGGUGAGUAACACGUGGAUAACCUACCUAUAAGACUGGGAUAACUUCGGGAAACCGGAGCUAAUACCGGAUAAUAUAUUGAACCGCAUGGUUCAAUAGUGAAAGACGGUUUUGCUGUCACUUAUAGAUGGAUCCGCGCCGCAUUAGCUAGUUGGUAAGGUAACGGCUUACCAAGGCAACGAUGCGUAGCCGACCUGAGAGGGUGAUCGGCCACACUGGAACUGAGACACGGUCCAGACUCCUACGGGAGGCAGCAGUAGGGAAUCUUCCGCAAUGGGCGAAAGCCUGACGGAGCAACGCCGCGUGAGUGAUGAAGGUCUUCGGAUCGUAAAACUCUGUUAUUAGGGAAGAACAAAUGUGUAAGUAACUAUGCACGUCUUGACGGUACCUAAUCAGAAAGCCACGGCUAACUACGUG
rnacentral:rRNA from 1 species